AGGGUUCUACGAUCAUGCUCAUCCUUCUUGUCGUGGCUAGAGCAUAUUACCAUUCUCAUUUAUGGUACAAAUGUUCAUUUUGGAGAUCUGCCAGCUUCGGGUUUCCACUCAGCGAUGUUGGAAGUGUUCUACUAUUCUGGAGCCUAACUUUUUAUGCUAGUCAUUUGAUGUAUAUAUUGGUUUAUUCAAAGGUACGGCAGGGGCCCUGUCCCGCCAUAUAAUAAAGUUAAUUAUUUUAGAGGUUUGUAGACAUGUGUAUGUGGGUUAUUUAUGAGCAUGUCAUGUUAUACGUGUUAUUAUAUUAUGUCAGCUUUGUCGGCUUGCGUGCUCUUUCAUGAUGGGAUACAAAUAAAAGAGGCUACAGGUUUAUGAAAAUGUGAUCACCCAAUAGAGUUUUAGUUGCAUGG